UCCUUGGGGGAGGGGUGGGCUCCAGCAUUAACAUUCAUUAAACGCCAGCAGCCAAGGUCCAGCCUGGGAGCUUCUGUGGAUGGAAUCACAACCAAACAAAACAGCAGCUAGUCCUGCCAUGUGCUGGGAGGGAGAGAGAGUGAAUCUUCCAGGGCCUCCUGUUCUACUGCUGGCUGAGGGAAAUCCUCAGUUCUCUGAACUGUGACUCUGACUGCUCCAGGUCGUGUGAGCAGUGUGUCUGCAGGGGGAGAAUUUGUACAAUGACAUGGGUUUUCCAAACCCACACAGAAGAAAGAGCCAGAAGUUAUUUGGGGAGAUAGUGCUUUCAGUGUGCAGUAUUCUGGAAAUGCUGCUAGCAGGAAUGUUUGUGACCCUCUGCCUUAGGUGCAAAGAUGGGGGAGCCUUCAUGGUUAAGCAUGGGGGAGGGUCUCAGCUUUUAUUCUGCGUAGACAUAGGCACAGCAGGACCAAGAAGAUGGACCUUAAACAUAGACAUUGAGCCCAGUCAGGCACACUGGGGCACACUCCUGUAAUCCUAGCACCCUGUAAGGCUGCAGGAGGAUUGCAAGUUUGAGCCAAGCCUAGGGAACUUGGCAACUUAAUGAGACCCUUUUCCCAAAUGAAAAAAUAAAAAAUGGGCGGGGCAUGCAUAUCACUAUGAAAGCUAUGAGAUCAAACUCCAAUUCUGAUGGAAAACAAAUCCUUAGUGACUUACAAGAUCCUGCCUAAAAAAAAAGGGUGAGGGGAGGGAAGGCAUCUGACUGUGAUGGUCCUGGGUUUAAUCCCCAGUAUCCUUACCCUCUCCUAAAAACACCACCGGGUCCCAAGGAAAGCCUGUCCCACAUAUUCCCAAACCCAGCAAGCAGGAAAGGCAUUACAGGACUGCUCCAAAUCCUGGUCACUUCUUCUCUGAGAUGGUCACAGCUUUCUUCAUUAUUCUUUUUAUGCUGUCCUUUAGAGCAUGCCAGCCCUACUGUCCUGUGGACCCCCUUCCCACCAUGCUCUAAAGUGGAAGGAGCCAGGAUGAAGUCUGGGCUCCCCGGUUAGGGAAGAUGAACUCCAGUGUGCUGUGUCCCCAGAGCAGAGGCCACAGGUCUGAGAACAGCAGACGCCCAGCUCUGUGUCUAAGUCAACAGGAACCAUGAUGGAAAUUCAGAGAGCAAGAGGAUAGUUGCAGAAUUCAUUUUCCCAAUGUAUUACUUUUCCCAUUCCUGGGAAGCAACCCUGACACCCACAAUUUAAAGGAACUUAAUUUGGCUCAUAGUUUCAGAGGAUUUAAUCCAUGAUUGCCUGAUUCCAAGGCAGAAACAUCAAGCUGGAAGAGUCGGGUGGCACAAUGCUGCUUAAUUCAUGGGAGCCGGGAAGCUGAGUAGGGAAGCAGAGCCACAGAAGAAGAGGUCAGGAAUUCAGCAGGCACCGCAGAGUACCGUGUUUCACUGGGUCUUCCAGGCCUCUGAGAAGCUUGCAGGGCAGAUACCCUCUGCUGAUGGCUGCUCCAGGGAGUAAGAAGCCACGCUGCCCCUGGGAGUCAGGCUGGGUCACAUCUGUCACGUUCACUGCUUGAGUGCUGAGGACUGAGCCCAGGGCCUCCCACCGGCUGGGGCAGAGAGUACUCUACCAGCGAGCUGCGCCCAGUCCUGCUCAGUUGUUAUGAAGAAGAUUUAAUGGCUGUGUUGGGGAAAGUUCUCUAGAGGAACAGAAUUGACAAUAAACGACCCUGGGGAUUUACUAGGAAGGCUCGCAGAUCAAGCAGGAGGGCCCACGGCGGUCAUCUACACCCUGGAGAGCUGCACACUCCAGUAACUGCUCAGCCCAAGAGCUGGAAGCUGCAGAACAAGAGUGACCAAGGAUGCAGCCCUAGGGCUGAUGGCCUGGAAGCUUCAGGAGAGGAGAGUCGCCGUCUGUGAUCCCCUUAAAGGCUGCAGAGAUGGAGUCCGAUGUCCACAGGUGAUGGCAGUACAGCAGACGCACCUGCUCAAACUUUUCAAGAGCAGGGUGACUUCCUCCUCCUUCCCCUUCGUUCCCUUGGAGCUGCCUGCUAUUGGAUGCUGCCACCUACAUGGGGGUGGGUCUUUUCCCUGGGUUUGCUGGCCUGCGUGCCAAUCAUCUCUGGAAACACCCAUAAAUGUGCUUACUGACCUGUGAGGGCGCCCCUGGUCCAGCCCAGUUGACACAGCCAGCCUAAACUUAAGGCACUGCUAAAUCGUGAGCUGGAAACCGUGGCAGCCAGGUCAUGGGAGGGGCUGAUCUGCCACCCUCUCUGCUGCCCAAGCUAUUCUUAAAUUUCUGGUAGUUUUUUGAGCUUUAAAAAACAGGAUUCUGGCCAAACAAAAGGGUGGGAAGUCCCCUAGGUGCUGGGCUGUGGUGUGUGCACAGCAGCCAGGAGACUCCUUCUGUGGAAAGGCAGCUCGAGUUAAAAAAUCAAACCCCCAUGUAAGUCAAACUCUAAUUUAAAACCCCAACCCUGCGCCAGUCUAGCUGGGGGGCAGUGGAUGAAUCGCUUUGCCUCUCUGAUUGCUUCAAGCUCUCCGGGGUCUUAUAAACUUUAAUUGUGAACAAUGAAAAUAAAAUAUGUCUGCCAAA